GAAGCAUGGAAGGCGAUGAUGACAGGCGCGGACAAGCCCAGUAAGACGUGAACAUCUAGCCAAUGUUUGGAGCUGCCUUUGCUCGCGAGCCAUUGCCAGCGUUUGCGGAUGGGAUAUAAAAAGAUCGCAAGGAACACGAACAAACCAAGAAUUCCGAGUUUGAGACCGAUAGCGCACAAGUA
rnacentral:rRNA from 1 species